ensembl:lncRNA novel transcript
GGGAGGGGUACAAAUGGCGAGAGACAGGAGAAGCCAGGAGAAUGCACAGAGGAGAGCUGCUGUAAACAGUGCCUGGGCCAUGUUUAUCCAUGGCUCGUGGUCCCAAGAAGCAUCUAAAGCAGGUAGCAGCUCCAAAGCAUUGGAUGCUGGAUAAAUUGACUGGUGUGUUUGCUCCUCAUCCAUCCACCAGUCCCCACAAGUUGAGAGAGUGUCUCCCCCUCAUCAUUUUCAUAAGGAACAGACUUAAGUAUGCCCUGACAGGAGAGGAAGUAAAGAAGAUUUGCAUGCAGCGGUUCAUUAAGAUCGAUGGCAAGGUCCGCACUGAUAUAACCUACCCUGCUGGAUUCAUGGAUGUCAUCAGCAUUGACAAGAUGGGAGAGAAUUUCUGUCUGAUCUGUGACACCAAGGGUCACUUUGCUGUACAUCGUAUUACACCUGAGGAGGCCAAGUACAAGUUGUGAAAAGUGAGAAAAAAUAUUUGUGCGCACAAAAGGAAUCCCUCAUCUGGUGACUCAUGAUGCUCGUACCAUCUGCUACCCUGAUCCCCUCAUCAAGGUGAAUGACACCAUUCAGAUUGAUUUGGAGACUGGCAAGAUUACUGACUUCAUCAGGUUCGACACUGGUAACCUGUGUAUGGUGACUGGAGGUGCCAACCUGGGAAGAAUUGGUGUGAUCACCAACAGAGAGAGGCACCCUGGAUCUCUUGACGUGGUUCACAUGAAAGAUGCCAAUGGCAACAGCUUUGCCACUUGACUUUCCAACAUUUUUGUUGUUUGCAAGGGCAACAUACCAUGGAUUUCUCUUCCCCAAGGAAAAGGUAUCUGCCUCACCAUUGCUGAAGAGAGAGACAAGAGAUUGGCAACCAAUCAAAGCAGUGGGUAAAAUGGUCCCUGGAUGGCAUGUUAGAUCUUUGUAUGUAAUUAAAAAUAAUGUGGCAUGAUUGAUAGCCAAAAAUAAAAUAAUUAUUAUUAUUUUGUAAAGACAGGGUCUCAUUAAGUUUCCCAGGCUGGUCUCAAACUUCAGGCCUCAGGUAAUUCUCCUGCCUUGGCCUCCCAAAGUGCUGGGAUUACAGGCAUGAGCUAUCACGCCUGGCUCCUUGUGGAUUUUCUAUCUAGUAGUUCUAUCAAUUACUGAGAAAAGAGUGUUGAAGUCUCCAACUAUAAUAGUAGAUUUGUCAAUUUCUUCCUUUGGCUUUAUCAGUUUUUGCUUCAUGUAUUUGAAAGAUCUGUUUUUGGUGCAUACACACUUAGGUUUGCUAUCUCUUGUUGGUAGAUUGAUCUUGAUCUUUUAUCAUCAUGUAAAAUUCCUCUCCGUGUCUGGUAAUUUCUUUGCUCUGAAGUCUACCUUGAUAUUCAUAUAGCCACUCUUCCUUUUUAAAAUUUAAUACUUAUGUGAUAUAUCUUUUUCUAUGCUUUUACUUUUUACUUAGCUAUAUCAUUAUGUUUGAAUUGAGUUUUUUAUAGACAGCAUAACAUUGGGUAAUGUUUUUAAAUCUACUCAGCUAAUCUUGUCUCAUUUUUAAUUUAAAAAUUUUUUACACAUAAUAAUUGUAUGUAUUUAUGGAGUACAAUGUGAUGUUUUGAUACAUAAAUAUAUUGUGUGAUGAUCAAAUCAGGGUAAUUAGCAUAUCUAUCACCUCAUUUAUUAUUUAUUUGUUACAGGCACAUACAAAAUCCUCUUUUCUAGCUAUUUUGAGAUACUCUACUGUGCAAUAGGACAUCAGAACUUAUUCUUCCUUUCUAAUUAUAACUUUGUACCCAUUGCAAUCCUGUCUCUUAAUUAAUGUAUUUAGUCCGUUUACAUUUAAAGUGAUUAUUGACCUGUUAGAGUUUAAUUUGUUUACCAUUUGUUCCCUGUUUCUUGUUACCUGGUUAUCUUCCUUCUGCCUUCUCGUGGGUUACUUGAAUGUUUUUUAGAGUUCCACUUUGAUUUAUUUAUAUAUAUUUUUAGUAUACCAUUUUGUAUAGUUUUUGUAGUGGUCGUUCUAGCUACUAUUCUAUUCAUAUGUAAAUUAUCACAGCUUACUGGUGUCAAUGUCUUACCAUUUCCAUUGAAGGGUAGAAAGCUUACUUCCUUUUAAUUCCUUUAUCCUCCACACCUACAAAAAUAUAAUUGUCCUAGGUAUAACCUCUACAUACAUAUCAGAAAAUGUAUAACUUUUGCUUCAACCAUAAAUACGAUCAAAGAAACUAAUGAAUGGAUGUUGAAUAUUUACUUCUAUUUUUACUGAAAUGGAAUAAUAAAAGGCUGAAAAUCCCAGCCUUUUAUUAUCAUUGUCUUUCUGUUUUGAGGGAUUUUGUUAGCAAUUCUUUAAAGGUAGGUCUGCUAUCAACAACUUCUCUUAGUUUCUCUAUGCCUGAGACUGUCUUUUUUCCCCUUACAUUCCUGAAGAAUAGUUUCACCAUCUAUAUAAGAUUUAUGAUUGGGAGGUCUUUCUUGCAGCAUUUGGAAGAUAUGUCACUUCCUUCUGGACUCCACGGUUUCUGAUGAGGAACCUGUUCUUCACAUUGGGGUUCCUUUACAGGCCAUGUUUUGCUUCUCUCCAGCUGUG